CCUGACUGAGCUGAGCCCAUUGUCUUGGAAAGUACUCCCACAUGCCAGAUGUGGCAGCUCAUGUCCAGUGUCUGCAUGAAGAGUGUCCUCGGGAUUCCCUCCACGGCUUGAUCUGGUGCCUUGUCUCUGGCUGCUGGGCUGCAGUCUGGCCUGUCACUCUUCCCAGAGGGUAUCCUGAGGACUCAGUGGUGCCCACUGGAAGGCAAGAAGGCAGUUCUGGCAGAAAUAAACGUGCAUAUGUCUGGCAGGGUUUGCAGAGCACUUAACCCCUGCCUAGGUUCCUCCAGCUGUCAAGUCGGGAUAAUAGUAAUUGCCACCUUCCAUGUGAUAUGAGCAUGAGCUUUGACAUCUCUGGCUGAAGAUGCCACAGCAACACAAAUUAUUAUUAUUAGAACAUAAUGCAUGUAUUCACAUAAAACACCAGCACAAUGCUCUUUUUACUCAUUAUAUCACGUCUAUAAGUACUGUUCUUCCACAUUCUUGCUUCAUUUUAGGUGAGAGAAUAUGAUCACAGCAAGCCACUGUUCACUGUCUCCAUAUAUGGAGGAAAUAGUUUAGAAGUUCCAGAUCAUCCUUUUGAGAUAUCCUCAACCUGUUAAUUUCUUAUGGUCUUUGCAGCAAAUU